rnacentral:rRNA from 1 species
CCCUUAGAUGUUCUGGGCCGCACGCGCGCUACACUGAUGCAUUCAACAAGCCUAGCCUUGACCGAGAGGUCCGGGUAAUCUUUGAACGCUGGUCGUGAUGGGGAUAGACUUUUGCAAUUUUUGGUCUUCAACGAGGAAUUCCUAGUAAACGCAAGUCAUCAACUUGCAUUGAUUACGUCCCUGCCCUUUGUACACACCGCCCGUCGCACCUACCGAUUGAAUGGUCCGGUGAAGCCUCCGGAUUGGCGCGCACCUCGGUGCCGCCGAGAAGUUGGCUAAACCUUACCAUUUAGAGGAAGGUGAAGUCGUAACA